GCUGCCUCCACCAGCGAACUCCAGAACAAUGGUUGCCUACAGACCCGUGCCGGCUUUUUCUCAGGCUCGGACCUGGAUACUUGUCGAUUGAGGAUUUCAGUACACAUGCUCCUGCUCCUGGGACUCCCGAGGAACCUACGCCAGGAUUCUGUUUGUGGACUUCAGCUCUGCAUUCCCCAGAAUCACCCCCUCUCUGCUGCAGGAUGAGCUCUCCCGGCUGCACGUGCCCGACUCCACCUGCAAGUGGAUCACUGACAGGCUGGGAAAGCACGUCUCACUUUACCGGAGCAUCCGCACCGGUUCCCCCCAGUCACCAGUCCGUCAAGCUCCUCAAGUUGUGGAGCUUGACACCACCCUCACUGCACUCAUCUCUGGUGGGGAUGAGUCCGCCUUCAGGUUGGAGAUUGUCCAACUUGUGAACUGGUGCAGUGAAAACAACUUAGAGCUCAACGGUCUGAAGACAGUGAAGAUGGUGGUGGAUUUCCAAAGGAACGCAGCCCCACCUUCCCCCCAUCACCCUGUGUGACUCCCCUGUCACGGCUGGGGAGCUGUGGAGGCUCCACCACAAGAAGGUUCAGCAGAGAAUGUACUUCGUAAGGCAACGGAAGAAGUUCAUUCUGCCAGAGACAACGAUGGUACAAUUCUAAACGACCAUUAUAUAGUCCAUCGUCUGCUCGUCCAUCACCGUCUGGUACGCUCCAGCCACAGCCAAGGACAAGGGCAGGCUGCAGCGUGUCAUCCGCUCUGCAGAAAGGGUGACCGGAUGCAAUCUGCCGUCCCUCCAGGACCUGCUCGCUUCAAGGGCCCUGGAGCGAGCUAAAAAGAUUGUAGCCGACCCCUCUCACCCAGGUCAAAAUCUGUUUGUGCCCCAUUUGGCAGGAGGCUGAGGUCCAUCAGGACUAAGACCUCCCGCCACACGAACAGUUUCUGUUUUGUUCUGUCUGAGGGCUCAUCAACAGAGGCCAGGUCCCCUGUUGACUGACUCCACUCAAAACACUUUUAGCCACUUUCAAUACAUUGUGUAUAGUAUUGUUAUUGGUUUGCCUGUGUACUUUAACUCUUUUACUUUGUAUUGUGUAUUCUUGUAUUUCCGUGUAUGUCCAACAAAUGUAUAAUAAUAAGUAUAACUGUAAGGCAAAUAAAUGUUUCUGAUUCGUAAUACUGAACCAAUCACCAGAACACAUGUCUGUCUGUGUAACAAACGUGGCAAAUAAUGGCUUCUGAUGUGUAAUUUCUGAUAAAAUUAGAACAUAUGCGAACAUUUUUUAUGAUAUGGUAUCUUCAAUACUUUAUCAAAUUUAAUUCUCACAAUAAAUUAAUCGACAGGAAAGGAUUUUAAAAAGGCCAGAAGUCAGAACAUGAUCUGUUUGUUUUGUUCUACUCUCUGUAGACCAGUAUGAAUUAAUGUGGCAUCAAAAGAUUGACUCAGUGUCGUCUGAGCAUCCUUCACCCACGCUGUGAGGCGCACCCACAGUACAUCCCUUACCGAGUGCUCCUUAAGGUAGAGAAAGAACAAGACAUUUCUCUCAAUGGGAAUAAUUUAAAAUGGAACUGAACAAUCCAAACAACGCAGCUAUGGAUCCUUGCUCAAGGCUGUGAAGAGAAUCUUUGCAUGUGUUGGUUUUAAAAACUGACCUACUUCUAAAGCUAGCAGACGGGACUGAUCCUGGCAGAGUCCACUGACAGAAAAUAACGCUCCAACGCUUGCUUCUCAGUAACUUUAAGCACGUCGCAUCAAGUCCACAUCACCCUAAGCCAGUACCAUGUCCAAUGUAUGUGUGUGAGGUGUCAAUUUAGCUUCCCUACCUUCUGCAUCUCUUAAGUUAUCACAUGGACAAUUAAUCAGAGAUACACAUUUAUACGCAUUUACAAUAUCACCUCUACUGUACUUACAUAUCAAUUUGAAUGUCACUAUUUAAUAGGCUAUGUUCACAUAUACACAUAUAUAUAUAGAGCAUGCAUACAGUUUGACUAUGGUUUCCACUAGGGGUGUAAUGAUUCAUCCACUGAAUCGAUUAAUCGACUUAUAUUCCUGCGAUCCAACGGAAUCGAUCUGUGGUCCGCAAAUCGGC